AGAGAGCUUUGUCAGUUAGCAAUGUUGUAUGAAUAGAAAUCCGGGCCGAAAACCUUGGACGCGGCAACCUUGACGAGCUCAAAUUCGACCACGACGAACCUCACACCGACAACCAAAAUCAACAAACUUUCGAACCUCAAACAAAGAUUUUUAAUACCAAAACCGAAAUCAAAAAUGAAGAAAUGGAAGCUCUUUUAUAUAUAUUUUCUGUAAUUUCAAGUAAACUAAAAUCUGAGUUUGCAACUACAAAAUAUCUUUUGUUUUUUUGAUCCCCUAUUUACUCGCUUGUUGCUGUCCUCUCACGCCGCUGCUGCUGGUUUCCCGCGAGCUAUGGUGUAUGCUCGUAAGGGGUACGGUGGCGGUAAGGUGAGACGAGGUGAGGGAUUGGGGCAGUGGCCGAUGUGGUACUGUGUUGAAGAACAGGGAAGUCGGCGGUUUGGUAUGUGUUCUGGUUGAGAGUGAGUUAAGCGACAAGGGGUCAAACGAUGGAGAGGAAGGAGUGACGGCGGAUUUCCGAUGGGUUAGAGGCUGGCGGCGGCUGGACUGGGGUGUUAGGGUUAGGUUUUCUUAUUGUCUUAUCUGAAGAAGAAGAAGAAGAAAGCAGCCAUGGUCGUUUUUAUUGUGAAGCUCGCUGGUUGUUGUGGUGGUAGCCGGCGGUACUGGUGGUGGCUGCUUGGAGUUUAACGGAGAAUAGGAUUUUUUGUUGUAUUGAUCUUCAUUGUUGUGUGCUUG
rnacentral:lncRNA from 1 species